UCGAGAAUCUUUCGCAAUGGGCGAAAGCCUGACGAAGCGACGCCGUGUGAGCGAAGAAGGCCUUCGGGUUGUAAAGCUCUUUCGCCUGAGAACAAGAGAGAUGCGCGAAUAACGCAUUGAUUUGAGGGUACCAGGUAAAGAAGCACCGGCUAACUCCGUGCCAGCAGCUGCGGUAAUACGGAGGGUGCAAGCAUUGAUCGGAAUUACUGGGCGUAAAGGGCGCGUAGGCGGCUCGACAAGUCAGAUGUGAAAUUCCACGGCUCAACUGUGGAGCUGCAUUUGAAACUACCGAGCUAGAGCAUAGAUAGGGAAAACGGAAUUCCACGUGUAGCGGUAAAAUGCGUAGAUAUGUGGAAGAACACCGGUGGUGAAGACGGUUUUCUGGACUAUUGCUGACGCUGAGGCGCGAAAGCUAGGGGAGCAAACAGGAUUAGAUACCCCCGUAGUCC
rnacentral:rRNA from 1 species